AACGUACCUUGCACUCUUUGGUAUUCCGAAGAGUAUGUCUGUUUGAGAGUCGUGAAAUUCUCAACCCCCCUAUUUUGUAAUGAGAUGGGUGUGGGCUUGGAUUAUGGCUGUCUGUCGGCGUAAAGUCGGCUCGGCUGAAAUACACGAGCAACCCAUUUGAAAUAGACGGCUUGACUUGGCGUAAUAAUUAUUUCGCUGAGGACGUCUUCUUCAAAAAUAAGAGGUGCUUCUAAUGCGCUUUUUAGCACUUUUUUACAUACCUCAAAUCAGUCAGGACUACCCGCUGAACUUAA
rnacentral:misc_RNA from 1 species